rnacentral:rRNA from 1 species
GCUAGCGGCAGGCCUAACACAUGCAAGUCGAACGGUAACAGGAAUUAGCUUGCUAAUUUGCUGACGAGUGGCGCACGGGUGCGUAACGCGUAUACAAUCUACCUUUUGCUGAGGGAUAGCCCAGAGAAAUUUGGAUUAAUACCUCAUAGUAUUAUUGAUAGGCAUCUAUUAAUAAUUAAAGGUUACGGCAAAAGAUGAGUAUGCGUCCCAUUAGCUAGUUGGCGAGGUAACGGCUCACCAAGGCAACGAUGGGUAGGGGUCCUGAGAGGGAGAUCCCCCACACUGGUACUGAGACACGGACCAGACUCCUACGGGAGGCAGCAGUGAGGAAUAUUGGACAAUGGGCGAGAGCCUGAUCCAGCCAUGCCGCGUGCAGGAAGACUGCCCUAUGGGUUGUAAACUGCUUUUAUACAGGAAGAAUAAGCCUUACGUGUAAGGUGAUGACGGUACUGUAAGAAUAAGGACCGGCUAACUCCGUGCCAGCAGCCGCGGUAAUACGGAGGGUCCGAGCGUUAUCCGGAAUUAUUGGGUUUAAAGGGUCCGUAGGCGGAUGAUUAAGUCAGGGGUGAAAGUUUGCACCUCAACUG